GUGAAGUUAAUGCAGUAUAUAAAUACCAUCCUUUAAUUUUGUCAUGCUGUCGAGAGCAGUGAGCGAGAAGUGAGGCAUGGCCGGGGUAUUAUACGCUGUGCUAAAUGCUGAGGGUAAUGUUAGACGCCAUAAUUACAAAUCGAAGAGCAAUUUCUGUUUUUAACAUAUGGCAGUAUUCAGCAAAUAUCGUACUACAAUAUUGCUUCAAAUAUUAAUGUAAAUAUUGCCCAUCAGAAAUAUUAUUUCAUGCUGAAAAGCGAAUAAUUAAUUGGAUAAUUUGGAAUUAUGAUCAUGAUUAUGUACAAGAGAUUCGGAAGACAACGCAGUGCAUUCUGAAGGACAGAAUUCUCGUUCGCUCGUCAAUCACGUGCUCGUCUCCAGACUCUGAAGAAUUUGAGACAUUACGACCAAUAAAUCCAUAUUUCUGUUUCCAUUUGGGAACUUCGUUUUGGGAUGCAAUUGUCAGGUCCUGGUAAUUUGUUACCCUUUUAUCCCCAUUAAUUUCGAAUUUUUAUGUCUUUCCGAAAACUGAUUUCCUUCAUUCCUUUCCUCCUUACAUACUCAUGUCGCAGCUGCUUCUUUUGUGCUGCUUUGCGAAGACUAAAUGAAUGCAGUGAUCGAACUUCCCCUGCAUGUUAUUUGGCCAAGUAUAUUUACUACCUUUAUGAAUGUAAAGUUACCAUAUUUGCUGCACUCUUUAUAAAUUUGCACAAUUUUCAAAUGAAAAUGUUACAUUCCUUGCACGAUUGUUUUCAUACUCUAAUAAGCAUAUCAAUUUUCAUGUUCUUUUUUCUGAAUUAUCAAUGCCUAUAUUCUGCAACCCUUCAUUAUUUCUGAGAGGCUUAUAAACGUUCUCUUUGAAUCUUAUAAUUUCUCUUAUGUCCGUGGUUGAACAUCUUUCUUUACGUAAUUUUGUGCAGGACAUGGAAACCAUCGAAACCAUAUAAAAACUACAGCACGGAAACUGGUCUUUUGGUCCUUGGCUGUGCUGAACUAUUUUCUGUCUACUCCCACUGACCUGCAAACGGACCAUAUCGCUCCAUACACCUCCCAUCCAUGUAUCUGUCCAAUUUAUUCCUAAAUGCUAAAAAAAAAAAAAAUAGCAUUUACUACCUCGUCUGGCAGCUCAUUCCAUUAUCCCACCACUCUCUGUGUGAAGAAGCCCCCCCCACCACCACAACCACAAUGUUCCUUUAAACUCCCCCCCCCCACCCUUGACCUCUGUUUUAUUCUCCCCUUGCCUCAGUGGAAAAAAUGUCUGCUUGCAUUCACUCUAUCUAUACCCUUCAUAGUUUUAUGUAACUCUAUCAAAUCUCCCCUCAUUCUUCUACACUCCAGGGAAUAAAUUCCUAACCUAUUCAACCUUUCUCUGAAGCUGAGUUUCUCAAAUCCCAGCAACAUCCUUGCAAACCUUCUCUGCACUCUUUCAACCUCACUAAUAACCAUCCUGUAAUUUGGUGACCAAUAUUGAACACAAUACUCCAGAUUCGGCCUCACCAAUGCGUUAUGCAACUUCAUAAUAACAUACCAGCUCUUAUACUUAAUACUUUCAUUAAUAAAGGCCAAUGUACAAAAAGCUCUCUUUACGACCUUAUUUACCUGUGCCGUCACUUUUAGGGAAUUUUGUAUCUGUAUUCCCAUAUCCCUCUGUUCUACUGCACUCCUCAGUGCCUUACCACUUACCCUGUAUGUUCUACCUUUGUUUGUCCUUCCAGACCUCACGCUUGUCUGUAUUAAACCCCAUCUGCCAUUUUUCAGCCCAUUUUUCCAGUUGGUCCAAGACCCUCUGCAGGCUCUGAAAACCUUCCUCACUGUCCACUACACCUCCAAUCUUUGUAUCAUCAGCAAAUUUGCUGAUCCAAUGUACCACAUUAUCAUCCAGAUCAUUGAUAUAGAUGACAAAUAACAAUGGACCCAGCACUGAUCCGUGUGGCACACCACUAAUCACUGGCCUCCACUCUCAGAAUCAAUUCUCUACUAUCACUCUUUGGCUUUUUCCAUUGAACCGAUGUCUAAUCCAGCUACCACCUCUCUAUGUAUACCUAGCGACUGAAUUUUCCGAACUAACCUGCCAUGCGGGACCUUGUCAACGGCCUUACUGAAGUCCAUGAAGACAAUAUUCACUGCCUUCCCUUCAUCAACUUUCCUGGUAACCUCGUCGAAAAACUCCAGCAGAUUGGACAAACAUAACCUACCACGCACAAAGCCAUGUUGCCUCUUCCUAAUAAGUCCCUAUUCAUCCAAUUGCCUGUAGAUUCUGUCUCUUAGUACUCCCUUCAAUAACUUAUCCACUACCGACGUCAAACUUACUGGACUAUAAUGUCCAGUAUUACUUUUCGAAUAUUUUUUAAACAUCUUGUGAUUUUUUUUGUAUCUGUGUUCAUUAAAUAUUACCAUAACCUAACUAAUGACUGAUUCACCCUUCAGACAUUAUUGUUUUGUGUGCUCUCUAACACUGGUGCUUCAACUUCAAUAUAUAUUUCUUAGAUCAUGCUUUGCCCACCUUUCCAAAAAUGCUUUUAAAAAAUGUAUUCUUUCUUCAUGAUUUGCUCAAUUAUUCAGAAGACAAAUAUUACUGAUUAAACUGUGCAUUAUUGCAUGUAUCUCUAACCAAUUGUUAAAUUUAAUCCAGCUUAUCGUCUCUACUCUCUGCAGAUAACAAAAUUUCGAAAAAUCACAACUAUGAAUGUUUUAUUUCUAUUUAAGAGGAAGUAACCUCUCUGAAACAAAAUGACCAGAGACCUUUAAGAAUAUUUAAAGUGUUUUAGGUGCACAGAGUCCGAAUCAAAAUACAAAACAUUUCAUGGAUGGCGAGCGUCCAUAAUGAUGGAUGCCACCUUCUUGAAGCAACGCCUUGUGAAGGCAAAACACACGACUAGCAUGAAUGACUGGCCUGAUUCCCUGAAGACAAAGUACUCUGAACGAAAUUACAGGAGUGCGGAUAUGCAAAAGUGCACAUGAAACAACAGUCUAGGAUAUUUAUUAAGAAAGCAGUUAACGGGACACCUGCGGAGAGGUCACCACAAUUGUUCAGUUUCCUCCCUUAACUUAUGGGUUUGGACCGGCCUUCCUCUUGCUCUGAUGUUGUAACUAGCAUUUUUUAACAUCUCAAUCCUCCAUUGCGACUGAAUUAACCGGAACAAUUAUUUUUUUCUGUCAUUUUUCCAAUAAUAUCAAAUAUAGUGCAUGACACCAAAAGAUAUAGGUGCCGCUUUACGCCAUUUCGCCCAUCUAGCCUGCACUGCCAUUUCAUCAUGGCUGAUCCAAUUUUGAAUGGACAAUUAAAGGAACACAGCACAAAAGGAAUGCAUUCCUUUAGUAAUGAAAUACCUAACGAGCUGGGGACACUGAAUGCUGCAAGAACUGAAACGACAAACUGGCUUUUUCGACUUUACAUCAAAUUUCGAGUUACUCCUUAUUCUAAUUCCUUCACCAUACCCAUAUGCUAUACCCAAAAGUGGCGAGACUAAAUUAAAAUCAGUAUUUGUCUGCAUUGAAAAUGGCUGAUUCAUGAAACAAAAAUGCAAGCGUAGGAACAUUCUGCGUUUGGUUCAAAUUACCAUAGAUCACCAAAUGUUGUCAUCUAAGAUUAAACAAAACUGCCCCAAUGUGCUCUCUUCUGCAGAAAACAAAAUUCUGUGAUCAUGCAGUUUGCUGAUUUUACACCAUGAACUUGGACCAGUUUGUAAUUUUUCCGUCAGUGCUUUCAAAUCCAUGCCAAUUGGCCCGGUGACUUUACAAAUUGCUCUGUAAUACAUUAAAACGUGAAACUGUACACCGCCCAUAACGUCAUAUAGUAAUAUCAUAAUUGCAGACGUUUGUUGAGAAUUUUUCGAGCACCCUUCAAAGAUGACGUACAGAUUUUGUAUUUCUGCCCCCUUCAGCAUGAGGUGUGAAGUCUAAUUCUAUUAAUGGCAGUAUUCACAGAUAACAGGUAACAGACAAUAAGGAACUAAGGAGAGGUUCACGAUAUUUUUCCUGUAUCCUUUUUCCACAUUGAUUUUGAGACCAGCAACAGUACUGUCAAUUUCAAAUUUAAAGAUAGGCUUGUCCUGUACCUGGACCCAGAGUCAUGGGUGUAAUAGGGUUACAGCAGGGGAUAUGCAGUCAUUGGUAUAAUAAGGUUAGAAGACUCUCCAGGAGACGCUCAUAGCGUGAGGUACAGUUCGCAUUCUCACCAUUCUCUUUACUUCUUUUACCUGUAACCACCUUUAUUUACUUUAUCUAUACCUGCACUAAAGGGUUUAUACCACAAAUAGAUCUUUGAACUUCGAUUUUAACUUACUGAAAAUGCUGACCAGAGAGCAUAAAGUUAAAGGUGGGAAAGUUUCCGGCGGGAACGAAAAAAAAAGAUAGCGAUCCCCAAGCAUCUAAGCAUAUUCCAUUAACAACGAAACAAUGUCAAAACUUCUAGAGGAUACAGUUAACUAAAGAUUUGCUCCGUUUGAAGACGUUUUGAAGAUCAUUCAAUAUGAUGUUAAAUCAUAUGUUAAAUCUAGUACGAAAGGGCAUUACUUAAGGAUUGAAGGGUGCCCAUUCAGAACAGAAAUGCGAAGUUUUUUUUUUAGUCAGACGGUGGUGAAUCUAUGGAAUUUGUUGCCAUGGGCAGCAGUGGAGGCCAAGUCAUUAUGUGUAUUUAAGGCAGAGAUUGAUAGGUAUCUGAGUAGCCAGGGCAUGAAAGGUUAUGGUGAGAAGGCGGGGGAGUGGGACUAAAUAGGAGAAUGGAUCAGCUCAUGAUAAAAUGGCGGAACAGACUCGAUAGGCUGAAUGGCCUACUUCUGCUCCUUUUUCUUAUGGUCUUAUGGUCUAAUUGGUUUAGAUGCGAAGUCGAUCAACAACAGAUUAGAAUUUCAGAGCUGGUUGAAGCCGGUCGGAAGAGAGACCAAAAAAUUGAAUCUGUGGAGAGAAAUCUGUCUUCGACAUCUCAGCUGUUGUAAUGUUAUAAAUCAAAGAUUAUCGAUCUUGAAAAUCAAACUUGGCGACAGAAUCUGGGAAUAAUCGGAGUUCCCAAAGAUGUUGAGAUGGGCGAUCCCACUAAAUACUUUUCUAAAUUGUUAAUGGAUGUGUUUGGACCAGAAGUUAUGGCGGCCCCCCCAUUGCUAAAUCGUGCGUAUCGCACCUUCCGAAGAAUUUAAACCGAGACCUGUUAUUGUUCGGUUUCACGAUAUUCACAUUAAGGAUCAAAUAAUGCAUUUUUUUUUCUUUUUUGUAAUUUGUAACUUGCUUUUCGUGUUUUUUUUUGAAGAAAAAAGCUAAUAUCCAGAUUAGAGAUUUCGUUUUUUACAUUUUGAAGGCUGUCGCCUUGGUUUUGUAGUGUAGGAGUUUUUCGUAUUUUUGAAUGAAAGUAUUCUUCUUUUUUUCUUUUUUCGUUAGUGAUUUUGUAUUUUUUUCACUUUUCAUCAGUUUUCUUUUGAGAGUAAUUAAGUAGUAGAUUCAGUGUUUGAUUUUCCUUUUGUUUGAAACUUUAUUGGAGAAGUAUUACAUCUUAAGGUGGUGAAUUGCUCUGUCCUUCUUCUCAGAAUUUAUCUUCUCUUGCUGCGUCAUUUCCAAUCAUUUAUAUAUGAAAUAAACUAAUAAUAUGAA